CACGAUAGCAUUGUCAAUGUGGACACAGGGUGGCUUUUGUCACAAAAAACCCCACAAACUGUGCAUUAUGGGGCAGAAAUUCACCCCCUGUGUGCGCUGAUGGGCCAAUGCUGUGCCUCUCAGUUUGCAUACAAGUUGGGCAGAUGGGAAUGGACUGACCUUUUCUCCACUGGCAUAUCUACACCGGGGGAGGCAGUGCUACAUGUGUGCCUAGCCUUAAUGGAAAUGUAUUUUCCUUGCAGAACAUCACUACGUCUGGAGACAUGGAGCCAACGACGACUUGGGAGACUUCUUCAGUCAAUAUUAUAUUGACAAUGAUGUGGAGCAUCUUCGGGACAUGGCCCUUUUCAUCUGCAUGGAUGCCUAUCGGAAACAUCUUGAGGAGCUGGAGAUGACUCUUUAUCACAUCCACAAACUCCUGGCUUUAUCUGAAGAGGAGCACGACGUGGACCACAUUCUCACCCAAUAUGAGAAUACGCAGCAAGCCCGGAGAGUAAGUUCCUUGGUCACUGUCUAGAAGGCUUUUCUGUGUGAUUUGUUGUUACAUUUUACAGGAUACACUCAAUGUUGGUCAGGUUAUAGGGAACACUAUGUAGUAUUGUGUGUGUGUUGAAAAAGAAGCUUAGUGUAAAUCUCUGCAGGUUACAGAA